rnacentral:rRNA from 1 species
AUUGAACGCUGGCGGCAGGCCUAACACAUGCAAGUCGAGCGGAUGAAGGGAGCUUGCUCCUGGAUUCAGCGGCGGACGGGUGAGUAAUGCCUAGGAAUCUGCCUGGUAGUGGGGGAUAACGUCCGGAAACGGGCGCUAAUACCGCAUACGUCCUGAGGGAGAAAGUGGGGGAUCUUCGGACCUCACGCUAUCAGAUGAGCCUAGGUCGGAUUAGCUAGUUGGUGGGGUAAAGGCCUACCAAGGCGACGAUCCGUAACUGGUCUGAGAGGAUGAUCAGUCACACUAGAACUGAGACACGGUCCGGACACCUACGGGAGGCAGCAGUGGGGAAUAUUGGACAAUGGGCGAAAGCCUGAUCCAGCCAUGCCGCGUGUGUGAAGAAGGUCUUCGGAUUGUAAAGCACUUUAAGUUGGGAGGAAGGGCAGUAAGUUAAUACCUUGCUGUUUUGACGUUACCAACAGAAUAAGCACCGGCUAACUUCGUG